rnacentral:snoRNA from 1 species
ACCCUCCAGAUGCCUAACCCUUCAGAUCUAAAUAUUUGUUUGACUGGCUAAAAAGGGAAGAAAAGUAAAACUGAAGUGGAUUUAGAGUCUUUAGAGCCAUAUAAGUCCAUUUCAAGCAUUU